rnacentral:rRNA from 1 species
UCGCUCCUACCGAUUGAGUGAUCCGGUGAAUAAUUCGGACUGCAGCAAUAUUCAAUUCCUUGAUGUUGCAGCGGAAAGUUUAGUGAACCUUAUCACUUAGAGGAAGGAG